AUGCAUCUCUUUGACAGACCUGGAGCAGUUAUGUCUGCUUUUAAGGUUUCCACAAAGAUGCAAGAAAAAUUUUCCUCGCGCUUUCUCUCUGCCCGAUUAUGGCAGUCUAGAUUGAAUAGGGGAAUACAAGA
ensembl:snoRNA